rnacentral:rRNA from 1 species
GGGGAGAGUAAAGUGGCGCACGGGUGAGUAUCGCGUGGGUAAUCUACCCUUGAAUUCAGGAUAACAUUUCGAAAGGGGUGCUAAUACUGGAUAACAUCCUGAUGGUUUCGGCCAUAAGGAUCAAAGAUAGCCUCUACAUGUAAGCUAUAGUUCAGGGAUGAGCCCGCGUACCAUUAGCUAGUUGGUGGGGUAAGAGCCUACCAAGGCAACGAUGGUUAGCUGGUCUGAGAGGAUGAUCAGCCACACUGGAACUGAAACACGGUCCAGACUCCUACGGGAGGCAGCAGUGAGGAAUUUUGCGCAAUGGGGGAAACCCUGACGCAGCAACGCCGCGUGAGUGAAGAAGGCUUUCGGGUCGUAAAGCUCUGUCAAGAGGGAAGAAAGUGGGGGAUGGUAAUACUGUUUUCUAUUGACGGUACCUCUGAAGGAAGCACCGGCUAACUCCGUGCCAGCAGCCGCGGUAAUACGGGGGGUGCAAGCGUUAUUCGGAUUUAUUGGGCGUAAAGAGCGCGUAGGCGGUUUAUCAAGUCAGAUGUGAAAGCCCUGGGCUCAACCUGGGAAGUGCAUUUGAAACUAGUAGACUUGAGUAUGGGAGAGGGGAGUGGAAUUCCUGGUGUAGAGGUGAAAUUCGUAGAUAUCAGGAGGAACACCGGUGGCGAAGGCGACUUCCUGGACCAAUACUGACGCUGAGGCGCGAAGGCGUGGGGAGCAAACAGGAUUAGAUACCCUGGUAGUCCACGCAGUAAACGGUGAUCACUAGGUGUAGCGGGUAUUGACCCCUGCUGUGCCGCAGUU